rnacentral:rRNA from 1 species
CCUACGGGAGGCAGCAGUGAGGAAUAUUGGUCAAUGGACGCAAGUCUGAACCAGCCAUGCCGCGUGCAGGAAGACGGCUCUAUGAGUUGUAAACUGCUUUUGUACGAGGGUAAACGCAGAUACGCGUAUCUGUCUGAAAGUAUCGUACGAAUAAGGAUCGGCUAACUCCGUGCCAGCAGCCGCGGUAAUAAGGAGGAGUCCAGCGUUAUACGGAUGUAGUGGGGUUAAAGGGUGAGUAUGCGGUCGGAGAAUUUAGAGGGGAAAUCCCGAGGCUUAACUUCGGAAUUGCCUCUGAUACUGUUCGGCUAGAGAGUAGUUGCGGUAGGCGGAAUGUAUGGUGUAGCGGUGAAAUGCUUAGAGAUCAUACAGAACACCGAUUGCGAAGGCAGCUUACCAAGCUACUUCUGACGUUGAGGCACGAAAGCGUGGGGAGCAAACAGGAUUAGAUACCCUUGUAGUC